AAGCUCGUAGUUGAAUUUCGAGACCGGUUUACUGGUCGUGCUUUUGUACGUACUGGUAUAAUCGGUUUCUCCUUUCUGACGAACUAUAAUGCCAUUAAUUUGGUGUUAUAGGGAAUCAGGACUGUUACUUUGAAAAAAUUAGAGUGUUUAAAGCAGGCUCACGCUUGAAUACAUUAGCAUGGAAUAACGGAAUAGGACGUUUGAUUCUAUUUUGUUGGUUUCUAGGAUCGACUGUAAUGAUUAAUAGGGAUAGUUGGG
rnacentral:rRNA from 1 species